CUCAUGCAAAUCAUAUAGCACCUAAAAUAGGAACAGAUUUAUCCUCCUUCUUCGCGAGCGGAGAAGAUCGGCCUUCGAUUAACAAAAAAAUGCCAGUUCCGAGCAGCAGAAAUCCUAAAAUCUGAAAUCUCGCCGGAAUCGAGUCGAGGACGUCGGAAAACCAACCCAAAACGUCCAAGCAGUGAAGAUGCAACCCAUUAAUGGUGAUAGAGGUCUCAGAUCAACACUCGAUCUUUAUCGAAAUCAUCACCGACCAAAUAUCUCACGAAUACCCGAAAACUUUCCAACACGAGAAUCGUUGGAUCAUCGUCCUGCUCUGAUACCAUAAAAACAUAGAAGAAUCGAGAUGAAGAUUGAAGAAGAAGAUGAAGACGAGUCGGUUUGAGAGAAGCUUCUAGAGAGCUUCAGAAAG
rnacentral:lncRNA from 1 species